rnacentral:piRNA from 1 species
UAAACGUGGAAUUCUGGGCAUGCAGCUCAUA